GAUGAACGCUGGCGGCGUGCCUAACACAUGCAAGUCGAACGAACAGACACGAAGCUUGUUCCUUUGACGUUAGCGGCUGACGGGCGUGUUACGCGUGGAUCCUCUACUUAUAUUUCGGGGAAGACUUCGGGAAUCCGGAUACAAUACCACACUAUAUAUCACACCGUAUGGUUCAGUGGAAAAUGGCGACUUUGCUGUCACUUAUAGAUGGACUCGCGGCGCAUUAGCUAGGUGGUAAGGUAACAGCUUACCAAGGCACCGAUGCGUAGCCGAGCUGAGAGGGUGAUCAGCCACACUGGAACUGAGACACGGUCCAGACUCCUACGGGAGGCAGCAGUAGGGAAUCUUGGGCAAUGGGCGGAAGCCUGACGAAGCAACGCCGCGUGGGUGAAGAAGGGCUUCGGGUCGUAAAACUCUGUUAUUGGGGAAGAACAACUGCAGAAGUAACGAUGCACGUCGUGACGGUACCUAAAGAGAAAGCCACGGCUAACUACGUG
rnacentral:rRNA from 1 species